GAUCUUCCGUCAUGACAUCAUGCAGGCCCUCCACCGAGAUGUUUAUAAUCCCACAGAAUUUAUCUUGAAUAACACUAGAAUACAAGAAGAGGACAACAGGUUAAACUGGAGUAUUUCCACAGACUUGGCUGAUAUGUUUAUGCACACUGGCGCAAGUUACACAUGGACUAAAGAAAGAAGACAGGCCUUUUCAAAGAUCUGCUAGCUUUAUUUUUCAAUUAUGUGUUUUCGAAUAUGUGACAUUUUCCAGGACCAAGACUGCAAAUACUUUUGUCACUUAAAUGGAAACAUAUCCUUUCUACACAGGCAUUCUCUGCAUGGUCAUGGAAAAUUUUAUUAAUAAAUCUAGAUGCCCUGAAAAAUAUGAGCAAG